CACAGGUCCAGUGGUUAGCUGGACUGAGGGCAAAUCCGAAAGACAGGAUUUUCAGCGAGGACAGAGCAGGAACGAGCUUUUGUUUCUUCCGUUCUACCUCCUUCUAAGGUUUCUUUAAGGGGAGAUCCUUGUCUCAGCCAGUGGUAGGCCACCCAGUUGCUUGUAGGGACUAAAAAAGCUUGAAAGACAAACUUAUGAAAUACUUCUGCAUCAGGAAGCACUGCUGCUUUGUCAUGGCUAAAGGCACGCAGGUCCAUUUCUGUGUUGAGCAGAAGCACAAGGCCAAUGGUUCUCGGAGAGGGGCUCAAGAAAUACGGGAAUAGUGUGUGAAUUACUACAAAUCACAUUGAGAUGGAGAUUGCAAAAUGUUUUUGUUUUUGUUUUUUUAUUUAAUGAUCUCCGGAGGGAAAAAUGAGAGUCAUAGAUUCAUAGAUGGCUGGGGUUGGAAGGGACCUCACUGAUCAUCCCAUUCCAACGUGUAACAUGUAAAGAGCAUGAAUUACCUACAUGUGUACUUUUCUUUGGCUUUGAUGGAAGAUCUCUGCACGUACUGGGAAGGAAACUGUGAGGAGGCUGAUAGAAGGGAGGGAUGGAAACAGGAGGCCCCAGGAACGGCAAUCAACAAAACAGUGCUGAGUUCCAUCCACUGCAAUUAGUGGGGACGGUUGUUUGCAGCCCUGACCAGCAAAGCUUGGGCAAAAUUAUGGGCCACAGGCACAGAGCAAUAGUGGUUCCACCUGCAUAUUUUGGGCACCAUCAAGAGUCUGGGCAGCCAUCAGACAUACUGAAAUAAGUCAUAGAAUAUCGCGAGUUGGAAGGGACCCUUAAGGAUCAUCAUAGAAUUAUAGAAUUGCUCAGGUUGGAAAAGACCAUAAAGAUCAUCGAGUCCAACCACAACAAUCCAUACUGCCCUAACUCUAACAACCCUCUGCUAAGUCAUGUCAAUUGGAUUUAACUCCAUGGAAUACAACUCUUUGGCCCAGCCAUCCAGCCAGUGUUUCCCCAGAUCAAUCGAGUCCAACUCCUCUUGAAGCGACGGUAUUGAAGAGAAUAUCCUGAUAUCCUAACAACAUCUGAAGAAAACAACAGGAUGCCAGGACCCACAAGGUUAUUUCCAACAUGGAUUUAGUGCAUAAAUGGAGCAUGACUAUUCCUUCCUCUUCAGAGAGCAUUUAUAAUGCACUUUUACAUGAUAAUGGCAGCGCAUUGCUUACGGCAUUAAACUACUUCUCCCCACCCCUCCACCUCACUUUUCCAGCCCAGUUUUGCACUCUGCUGUGCAGUGUCAGCCCUGAAAUCACCCUUUUGCUGCAGCUCUGGACAGAUGCUGCAUUGCUUGAGGAGGGGUGAAGC
ensembl:lncRNA